rnacentral:rRNA from 1 species
UACGUAGGUGGCAAGCGUUGUCCGGAAUUACUGGGUGUAAAGGGAGCGUAGGCGGGAUGUCAAGUCAGAAGUGAAAAUUAUGGGCUCAACUCAUAACCUGCUUUUGAAACUGAUAUUCUUGAGUGAAGUAGAGGCAAGCGGAAUUCCUAGUGUAGCGGUGAAAUGCGUAGAUAUUAGGAGGAACACCGGUGGCGAAGGCGGCCUGCUGGACUGUGACUGACGUUGAGGCCCGAAGGCGUGGGGAGCAAACAGG